UGCCAACAACAAGGGGUCAAGGGCCGC
rnacentral:piRNA from 1 species